GGUUUCUUUUGAUAAACAAAUGGCAAAAGAACAUAGCCGUUGCCUGACCCAUGCCACAGCUUCGCUCCAGGUGGGAGGCAAAGAGGUAAAAGAGGAGGCAAAAAGGCAUCCAACCUGUAGUCAGAUUGGCCUCUGCAGAUCCCUACUAGCUUCACUGCGAUUCUGCACAAGGAUGAAGAUCUACCCACAUGGGUCUGGUAUCAGGAUCAUAAAGUGAGGCUGGCCCUCUACUUGGAACAGUGAUACACUCAACCGUGCAACACGUACCUGCUGGGAGAGACGUCUCGUCCUAAGGAAGAAUCCGAGAAGACAGCCCACGGUGACUGACAACACUGAGAGAAUGAGCAAACCAUUUCUUUUACAAACAUCCUUGACCCGAGCGAGGAUCGCAUCAAAAGCCACUGCCAUGCUGUCCUCCGUGCAAUUUGGAGAAGAAUCAGCAUCCCACGGAGAGAGAAUUCACUCACUCCUCCUGU